rnacentral:rRNA from 2 species
ACUUUCAACAACGGAUCUCUUGGCUCUCGCAUCGAUGAAGAACGCAGCGAAAUGCGAUAAGUAAUGUGAAUUGCAGAAUUCAGUGAAUCAUCGAAUCUUUGAACGCACCUUGCGCCCCUUGGUAUUCCGAGGGGCAUGCCUGU